rnacentral:rRNA from 1 species
UACGAAGGGGGCGAGCGUUAUUCGGAAUCACUGGGCGUAAAGCGUGCGUAGGCGGUUAUAAAAGUUAGGAGUGAAAGCCCCAGGCUCAACUUGGGAAUUGCUCUUAAUACUGUAUAACUAGAAUUUGGGAGAGGAUAGCGGAAUUGUCAGUGUAGCAGUGAAAUGCGUGGAUAUUGACAGGAACACCGGUGGCGUAAGCGGCUAUCUGGACCAACAUUGACGCUGAGGCACGAAAGCGUGGGGAUCAAACAGG